rnacentral:rRNA from 1 species
UAAGGAAUAUUGGUCAAUGGGCGCAAGCCUGAACCAGCCAUGCCGCGUGCAGGAUGACUGCCCUAUGGGUUGUAAACUGCUUUUGUACGGGAAUAACCCUUUCUAUGUAUAGGAAGCUGAAUGUACCGUAAGAAUAAGGAUCGGCUAACUCCGUGCCAGCAGCCGCGGUAAUACGGAGGAUCCAAGCGUUAUCCGGAUUUAUUGGGUUUAAAGGGUGCGUAGGUGGCUUAAUAAGUCAGGGGUGAAAGACAUCGGCUCAACCGAUGCAGUGCCUUUGAUACUGUUGAGCUUGAAUUAUGUUGAAGAUGGCGGAAUGAGACAAGUAGCGGUGAAAUGCAUAGAUAUGUCUCAGAACACCGAUUGCGAAGGCAGCUGUCUAAACAUGGAUUGACACUGAUGCACGAAAGCGUGGGGAUCAAACAGGAUUAGAUACCC